rnacentral:rRNA from 1 species
UACGGAGGGUGCGAGCGUUAUCCGGAAUCACUGGGUUUAAAGGGUGCGCAGGCGGCGUGCUAAGUCAGGGGUGAAAUCCUCCCGCUCAACGGGAGAACUGCCCUUGAUACUGGCAUGCUCGGAUCGGCACGAGGCAGGCGGAACGUGGCAUGUAGCGGUGAAAUGCUUAGAUAUGCCACAGAACACCGAUUGCGUAGGCAGCCUGCCAGAGCCGUAUCGACGCUGAGGCACGAAAGCGUGGGGAGCGAACAGG